AAAUUGAAGAGUUUGAUCAUGGCUCAGAUUGAACGCUGGCGGCAGGCCUAACACAUGCAAGUCGGACGGUAACAGGAAGCAGCUUGCUGCUUUGCUGACGAGUGGCGGACGGGUGAGUAAUGUCUGGGAAACUGCCUGAUGGAGGGGGAUAACUACUGGAAACGGUGGCUAAUACCGCAUAACGUCGCAAGACCAAAGAGGGGGACCUUCGGGCCUCUUGCCAUCAGAUGUGCCCAGAUGGGAUUAGCU
rnacentral:rRNA from 1 species